rnacentral:lncRNA from 1 species
GUUAAAGGAUGGACGAAUUCAAGGAUAAGGAUAUCCUUAAAAUCGUCCAAGGUCCAAGAGAUAGGGAUUUUCAAGGCUUAUCUUAUGGUUGCUUGAUGGGCAAGUAACUAGAUAAGGAUAAGGACUGAAACCCUAAUCCCAACCCUAUAUAAAGACCCCUAAGGCCUUAUGAUUUCGUGCACUUGAUCCCUAGAGCAUCUAAGGACGAAUUUCUACCUCUCUCCUCUCUCUUUAUACCUUCUCCACUUGCUUAUGGUGUUUGUAAGCCAUUAGAGGAGUGACACUUGUGACUCUAAGCCUUCCAAAGUCAAUUCAAGGAGGAAUUGGGAUUGUUAUUGCUACAUAACAAUCAAGGUAAUAUCUUAAACCUAAUUAUAUGUUAAUAUUGAUUUCCAUAUGCUAGAAUUAGGGUUUAUAUUCUUGGAUUCAAAGCAUGUACAAUAGAGAAACCUAGAUCCAAGCAUUAGGGUUUGUAUGAGCACAUAGGAUGUCUUAUGACCAAAACCCAUCAGUGGUAUCAAAGCCAUUGUUGGUUUCUAUUGUAUUGAUGCUUGAUAUGUUGAAAAAAAUUUGAUUUUUGGUGUUCUGCUUAAUGGACUCGGCGAGUCCCACUGUGGACUCGGCGAUUUGCCCCUACUCGGCGAGUUCCAGAGGGUGACUCGGCGAGUCGGUGCGUCAGACAGAGGUAUAUUCGGGAUUUCUUGCUGUUUUUGCUUAUGGAUGGUUACCUUAUCAUGUUAGAUCAAUAUUAAUCCGAUUAUAUGAUAUAUUUGACUAUAUUUUUGAUCUAAUUGAAGAUAUUUAUCAAUUAAUAAAAUAUUUGUUUCCUUAUGUGAUAAUUUUUAAAUUAUUUUGAUUAAAUUGAUAAAUUGUUUUGUAAGAAAUCAUUAAAUAAAUCAAAUAUGGAUAAAUAUGUAAUUAAAUGUUGAUUUAGAUUAUUUGUUAUUUGAUCCUUGUUGUUAUGAAAAGUUUCAUAUUUUCCCCUUUAGGUUUUAUAGUUUAAAUUUGAACCCAAAAGUUUUGUUGUUUUGAAAUUUAAAUAGUUGAAACCCUAAUGUUUUGAAAAAGGUUUCAAAACUUGCCCUCAAGUUUUGGAAUUUAAAUUUUGAUUAAUAGUUUAAUUUUGAUGUAUAUUUAAAUUCUAAACCCUAAUGUUUUGAAAUGUUUCAAAACUUGCCCUCAAGUUUUGGAAUUUAAAAGUUGAUUAAAAGUUUAAUUUAGGAAUGUUAAAUUCUAAAACCCUAGUAUUGUUUUGAAAAGUUCAUAUCACUCCCUUAUGGUUUUAUUAAUUAAUUAAGGUGUAUAAUUAAAAGAGGUUUAAUAAAUCCAUAAAAGUUUAGGUUUACAAUUUAAUUGAAUUAAAAGUAUAAUUGUUAAAUUUGACCACCUAGUAUUUUAAAAGUGUAAAAUACACCCUAUACUAUAUAUAACAUUAAAAGUCUAACAUUAUAUAUAUGUAUGAGUAAAAGUCAGUCUUACCGUUAGUAGGCCUCAUUCACGAAGCUGGUCUAUAAGGGGUGUUUAAGGAAAUUGCCUAUAAAAUGGCGAUUGAAUGGGUAUCCACUCUUACCCACCGCACUCUUGACUAGUGGAGGGUCGUUAGCCGAACGGGUAGGAUAGGACGAAACCUUCCAUUAUAAGUAUAAUGAAGUAUAAAAGUAACUAAAUGUUUUCAUAAAAUUCCCAAUCUUAGUUACUUAGGCAAAAGUGAAUUGAUGCAAUUCCAUGAAAUUACACUUUGUGCCCUUGCGAAGACGUUAGUGGAGCGUGUGUGGUUUACCGGCACACUAAAUGGUUCUAAGCAAAGGUAGCAAAGGGUGACUCAAUGUUUGUCAUAGUUCGGUGGAGCGUGUGUGGUUUACCGGCACAUCGAAUAGGUGACUGUAACAUGUGAGGGCACCAUGUAAGUUUGCAUGGUUAUUCACACCCGCUUUGUGAUCCUCGGCAUCCCAGUCACAAACAAGAGGGGCAUAUCGAGAUUUAAACAUGCCAUUGAAAGUUCAAUGAAUCUCAAAGGAUCUAGGAGUUUUCAUAGAUUUAAAACUUAAAUUUCUUUUUCGUUUUUCGUGGUGGAAAUUAGUGAAUCGUCAUUCACUUACCUUCAAAUAUUCUGCAAUUAGGGUUACGGCAUCCCUCUCCCGAGUUGUAGAAUAUUGUGUUGGGUCCUAGCCUUAGUAUCUCAUUUGGGUGAUUUACUAAGGACUCAAUCAAUCAACUAACUUGAAUUCGUUUUCUCCCGUUUUGUAGAUGUCAAAGUUCGACAACUAUGGUCUUCCCAAAUCCCGUGGAACAAGCUUUCCACAUGAAGAUGAUAUUCCACGAUUCGAUCGAGGAACAAGAAAUCAUGCUUCACUUCCUCCACCUCCUCCAAUUAUUCUCCCUAACCCACAAGUUCAAAGGCUUGAAAAGUUCAAGAUCACUCAAGCCCUUUUGGCAAGUAAACAUAAAGAAGGAAAGUCGGUGUGUGCACACGUCCUAGGGAUGAAGUCACACAUUGAUAGGUUAAGAAUGUUGGGAUCCGUUGUCUGUGAGGAAAUGGCUGUUGAUUGGGUUCUUCAGUCACUUCCUAACUCAUAUAGUGAGUUCGUAAGAGAGUACUAUAUGAUGAACCGCGACGUGACCCUUAUAGAUCUCACCUAUAUGCUUAUUGCUGCUGAAUCAGCAAUGGUUUGGCGCAAUAGAAAAGCAAAGUUGAUUGGUGAAUCUGCCUUCAAGACCUCUAUGGAUAUAGACAAUGGCAACGAAAGACAUGCUAUGAUCGAAAAGUUUGAUCAUAAGAGAAAGGCAAUGUCUGAAGUAGUUCCAUGUCAUGUUCCAAAAGAGUCAAUUUGCUUUUAUUGCCAAGAGAAAGGGCAUUGGAGACGAAGCUGCCCCAUUUACCUAAGAGAUCUAAGAGAUGGGAGAGUCGAAACGUAUGGCUCUAAUAUAGGUAAAAUCCAUUAACUAACUCUUUUAAGCUUCUAUUCUAGAUUCUUAAUACAUAAUGUGAUAAGAUUACAAUUGAUGUUUUGUAGGAUCGAAGAAAAGAAAGGAAGCUUAAGGGAAGAAGUGAGCAGAAUCUAACCGUGAAGGAAUGGAUUUCGAUCGCAUUUCUCGAAGAUUAGAUUCUUGAGCUACUACUUAGAGUUAGAAUUAGAUUGCUAAGAAAGAUGUAUUAGCAUAAGUUUUUCAAUGAAUUGCAUUGUAAGGACAAAUUUUUCCGCAAUAAAAUAAAUUUUGAUUUUAAAUUUUAUUUAUUUAUCCUUACAAUGGCGUGUAUGAAAAAUUGAUGUUAAAAUGUUUCUAUUAUUAGCAAUAAUGGAUUUGGUUCUUAUUAUGUUAUUUAUGGAAAGUCGAGAAUUUACCAAAUAGGGAGAGUUUCUCAUCGCCCAAGUUUCAAUUGGACAGAAACUUGGAAUCAUGCAACUUGGUUGCACGAUGAAUGAGAAAUUUCAUAUUUGGAAAUUAGACUAAUUCAUUGACAAAGUGUCAAGUGAAGGACUAGGAGAUCGAGUACACAAAGUUGCGUGUUGAUCAAGUCCACCAUAAGAGUAACAAAGAUAUUCGUCAUGAUUUACUAAAGGUUUAGUAAAUAUGAUUAUACUUAUAAGAUUAAGUGUAAUUCUGAAUUGAUUGAAAAGGUUUAAAUCAAUAGCAGAACGAAUAAGAAGAAUCAAGUAGGCAGAAAGAUAAAAGUUUCUCCAUUCUAAGAAGAAGGGAGAGUACCUUUUAUGCUUUAUGAUAGGUCUUAAUGAUUAAGAACCAUAUCUCAAUUGAUCCUCUAAGUGAGUCUUAGUACAAUUGUAUGUCUAAGAAGAGGAAUCAAGAAUUGAAGAAAUGGUUAAAUCAAUAAGUCAAUCAUACUUCGUUCCAAUAACAAGUCUUAAAGUUAAGAUUGUGACAUUGAGUGAAAGGUAUUAAGAAGGUUUAUAACAUUCAUUAAAUGUGGAAAGUUGUGAUGUCUUGGAUAAGACAAAGACCAACUAGGACCAAUUUAUGAAGUGUUUUGAUAAAAGCUACACUAACUCUUGAAUAUUUGUUUGUCAAGAAAUGGUUAUUGACAAGAGAAUCUUAUAUGUCAAGGAGUCAGUGGGAGUCUUAAUGGUCUUGAAAGGUUUCAAGAACAAAUCAAAUAAACCUUAUCGAUCAUCACUAGCACACGAGUUGAGGUUUACAACCUAUCGUGUUGACAUUAUUUUGAUUCUGUGCCAAUCCAAUCGAGUUAAUUAUGCAUGUGAGUUCUAUGAGUUCUCAUUUUGAACGCAUAAAAGGCAAAGCACCUUAAUCAAUGAAAGGUACAUUGAUAGGAAAGGGUGAGCUGCUUAACUACUUGGAAGACAUGGUGGGCAGCUGUGCUACCAUAAAGGCAAGAAAUCGAGAUCAAGAAAGUUCGAUCCAUAAGAGUUUGAAUUUGUCGUAAACUUUGGUUUUGACAAAUUCACAUGGAUAGGAACAAAUACACCGUUUAAAUCUAAGUGUCAUAAGAUUUCCUCCUUCAUGAAAAUGAUUGUGAGGAAAUGCUUUCACUAAGACAGAUUUUAAGAAGAUAGUGAUUGUAAAAUUGCAUUCUCGAAUUCAAUUAUGGUUACGGCAUCCCUUUCCAUAAUUUGAAUUGUGAGGUUUGGCAAUUAGUCUUAAUUGUUUAGACACACAUAUGAACUAUCGAAGGCAAAGGUGUAUAAGUUCAAGAAGCCUUGAUAAAAGAUUAUCAAAGCACUAAGUAUUAGAAACAUGAACUUAAGAAAUUCAAUAAGCAUUUUUUUUCUGAAAGUUAAGAUGUUUAUGAAUACAUGUCGAAGCUAGUGGGAGCAUAAGUGUUAUGUUUUAUAAUAAUCAUCAAGAUAGUGGGAGCAUAAAAGUUAUGAUUGUAUGAUUAUUAAGGAAAGUAUUGCAAGGUUAGCAAUAUUAAUUAUAGAAAACAAGAGUCAUACUUUGCAAAGUCGCAAUAGUUGAAGAGUUGUUUUGCUAUAAUUAAGGGAGAGAAUAUUAUGCUUCAUUUCAAAUCUAAAGGUUUAGGUUGAGAAAUGUUAAUAAAAUUUAGUCAAAGGUACAAAGUGUGUUCUUAAAAUUUCGAUUAUGAUUACGGCAUCCCUCUUCACAAUUCGAAUUUUGAGAACAUAGCAAAUAAAACAUUAUGCGUCGUGUCCCAUACGCUUCGGGUAUAGGAUCGAUUGCAAAUGCUUUAAUGUUUGACCAUUCUAAAAUUUUCCAAAUGUCGAGCGCAUUUAGAGGGAAAAGGGACUAGAAUUGGUUUUGACUAAAAUAAUUAAACAACUAUCAAAGGACAAUCCAAAGUUCGACGAGGAUUGGUCGCUUGUGAGUAGUUGGAAGUAUAGUAUUGGAAAAUAUGGAAAUGUUUCCAUAUUGGAUGGACCAUAUCGACAUCAUUACGAAUAGAUAAGAUUCUAUUAAGAAUGAGUUGUCAUAUGGAACAUAUGGAAGUGUGUCCAUAUUGGGAAUUGAAUAUUGAGAAAUCUAUGACUAGAUUAGAAACUUCUAUGCAAAAGGAUGUUCAAAGAAUGUACUUUGAGUGAGAGACAUCACAUCUAUGGAAUUGUCUUGUAACAAUCUCCGAUAGAGGACUUUGUAAUAUCAUUGGCAAUAGUCUUUGUGACUUUGGUGCAGUGACAUUACGAAAGGAUAGUUGCAUAAAAUGUUAGAAUCUAGCAUAUUCUAUAAGUAGCAAGAAUUUGAUAUUCUUACACUUAUGAAAAAGGAUUUGGAGUUGUGAAAUGAGAAUGAUUGGAAAUGUGUUCAAUGUGAUCUAUUUCACAAAGUAAGAACCAUAGGUAAACAUUGUGUGCAUGCUAGGAGCAUGGGACAAGUGUUGUAAUUCAAGUAAGAAGUUGAUUACCCGAAACGACAAAUAAUGAGUAAUCAAUAUGGUGAUAAAUAAAAGGUGUUUUAUUUAUACUCAAAGGUUUGAGGCCAUAUGGGAUUAGUAUUAUUCUUGUGUUUCACAUUUGCAUGUUUUGACUUCCAGAAUAAUUGAGUUUAUUAAGAAUAAUCGAAUUAUUCGAACGGGCCACAGUCGUUCAUAUGUUGGAAGUAGAUAUGAAUGAAGACUGUCGUGAAUUGGUGUGUGGAUUGUCUAAAAGAGUAUUAGACAUAAGCAAAUGUUUGCUGCAACGUUCAUGAGUGCUUAUGAAUAUGAUUUGAGCAUUGGAUUAAACCCACGCUCACUUGGAUCACUCCAUGAAUUGUAUCACGAGUGAUUGGUGAGACGAUAACAUCUUAUAUUCUUGAAACCGAGAUGUGUGAGUUGUAUCUUGCAAAUCGGUUGCACAUUGAUAAUAUGUAAACGCACUAGUAACUUGGUGUUAUAAAACAUAUUGUUGUGUGUGAUUCGGUGAGUGAGUGCAAGCAAGCAUUGUAUCAAAGUUUAUCCGUUCCUUUUAUCCAAAGUAGGAUAAAAGCGAUAUCUUUGGGCCCCUCGAUGGUUUAGUGAUGACAAACGUAAAUGCUCGGCCGGGCUAGGGCUAAUUUGAUUUGUUCAAUUAGUCAGUCGUCAUAAAUCGGGAAUCGAGAUAUAGUACAAAGAGAAUGAUUUGAAAUCAUAUCUCAUAUGAUAUCUAGAAUGGAGGAAUAUAUGAUCCCUUAUCUAAGGACACGCGUAUCUGAUAUGAUCAGAGUUGACAGCGGCUUUGGAAAGCUACGAUUGCAGAUCAGGAUCUGAAGUCAUACGCAGAAUAGUUAUUAGACUUAUCCAAGUGGGAGACUGUUGGAUUAGUGUCUAAGUCCAUAACUAUUUUGGUAUGUACUUGACCCGAUGGUGCAUGGUCCUUUUGGGUUGCCUUCACCAAAGCAACUUGAUUGGAGAAAUAAAUAGAGAGAGAGGUUAUUAUGAUUUAUUAAUAUGUUAUAAGAAUAAUAUAUUAAAGGAGAAAUCAUAUUUGUUUAAUUAAUAUUGGUCAAUAAUUAAUUAAGAAUUAAUUUUGUGAUCAAAUGUAAUUAAUUAAACUAGAGGGGCUGAAUUGUAAUUAUGUGAUAGUUGCAAAAUAGGGCAAUGGUUAUCCUUGUUAAAGGAUGGACGAAUUCAAGGAUAAGGAUAUCCUUAAAAUCGUCCAAGGUCCAAGAGAUAGGGAUUUUCAAGGCUUAUCUUAUGGUUGCUUGAUGGGCAAGUAACUAGAUAAGGAUAAGGACUGAAACCCUAAUCCCAACCCUAUAUAAAGACCCCUAAGGCCUUAUGAUUUCGUGCACUUGAUCCCUAGAGCAUCUAAGGACGAAUUUCUACCUCUCUCCUCUCUCUUUAUACCUUCUCCACUUGCUUAUGGUGUUUGUAAGCCAUUAGAGGAGUGACACUUGUGACU